rnacentral:rRNA from 1 species
GAUGAACGCUGGCGGCGUGCCUAAUACAUGCAAGUCGAGCGAAUGGAUUAAGAGCUUGCUCUUAUGAAGUUAGCGGCGGACGGGUGAGUAACACGUGGGUAACCUGCCCAUAAGACUGGGAUAACUCCGGGAAACCGGGGCGAAUACCGGAUAACAUUUUGAACCGCAUGGUUCGAAAUUGAAAGGCGGCUUCGGCUGUCAAUUAUGGAUGGACCCGCGUCGCAUUAGCUAGUUGGUGAGGUAACGGCUCACCAAGGCAACGAUGCGUAGCCGACCUGGGAGGGUGAUCGGCCACACUGGGACUGAGACACGGCCCAGACUCCUACGGGAGGCAGCAGUAGGGAAUCUUCCGCAAUGGACGAAAGUCUGACGGAGCAACGCCGCGCGAGUGAUGAAGGCUUUCGGGUCGUAAAACUCUGUUGUUAGGGAAGAACAAGUGCUAGUUGAAUAAGCUGGCACCUUGACGGUACCUAACCAGAAAGCCACGGCUAACUACGUGCCAGCCGCCGCCGUAA